AGUUGUCCCUGAUUAGAAGCCACAUUGGCUUUUGUUUGUUUUUCUCCUAGUGGGUGGAAAGCUGCUCUCUCUCCUGUGAUAUUUACCAUGAGCUCGCUGGCCAGCCUAGGCCCGUUCACUCACAGAACCUCCCAGAGUCCGCAGGAUGGACCUCAUGGACUCUCCUAGCAGGCUGGACUCUGCAGAGAGACAUCUGCCACUUUGAGUGUUGAGCUUUGCAUGCUGGGCUGAAUUUCUCAGAGGUAUG